rnacentral:rRNA from 1 species
GACGAACGCUGGCGGCGUGCUUAACACAUGCAAGUCGAACGGAAAGGCCCUGCUUUUGUGGGGUGCUCGAGUGGCGAACGGGUGAGUAACACGUGAGUAACCUGCCCUUGACUUUGGGAUAACUUCAGGAAACUGGGGCUAAUACCGGAUAGGAGCUCCUGCUGCAUGGUGGGGGUUGGAAAGUUUCGGCGGUUGGGGAUGGACUCGCGGCUUAUCAGCUUGUUGGUGGGGUAGUGGCUUACCAAGGCUUUGACGGGUAGCCGGCCUGCGAGGGUGACCGGCCACAUUGGGACUGAGAUACGGCACAGACUCCUACGGGAGGCAGCAGAGGGGAAUAUUGCACAAUGGGCGGAAGCCUGAUGCAGCAACGCCGCGUGCGGGAUGACGGCCUUCGGGUUGUAAACCGCUUUCGCCUGUGACGAAGCGUGAGUGACGGUAAUGGGUAAAGAAGCACCGGCUAACUACGUG